AAAGAUUAGUCAGGUGGUCAGCUGCCAUAGCCACAAACUUCUGCAAUUUAUUAUUUUGCUUUCAUCAUGCUAUUCAAUUGUUCGUUGAUAGACGUAGCUCAUGAAACUUAAACUGCAAAGGAUGCUGACGGUGAAGGAAGGUCAUAAACAACACAAGUCAAAUGUGUUGGAACAUCAUAAUUUCAUUCUGCCACUCUUUGUCCAUUCGUUGUGUCCUGUCUCGUCUGAGAAACACAGCAUAUGGGGUUUUGCAAACCCCUAACCAUCACCAUUUCCUCAGUCUUCUCAUCACAUCUACUGAAGCGUUCAAGAAGCAAGAUUUUGUAUUGAGGAGUGAGCUUUUGGAAUUAAAAGUACAAAGAAUGCUGGCCCUGAAGGAUGGUCACCAAUCAAACCAAACUAUGGAUUGCAACGCAUCAUGACAUUGUUAGGCUCUUGGACCACUCAUCGUUUCCUGCUGCCUUUCGCUACUUUCCAGCCAACACAUAUCUUUCCUCCAGUCUUCGCCCGUCGCGCCUUCUUCGCCUCGCCCGUCGCCCCAUUUUCGCCACGCCCGUCGCCCCCGUCUUCGCCUCGCCCGUCGCCACGUCACCUUCUCGCCCGUCGCGCCAUCAUCGCCUCUCCCGUCGCCUCGUGGUCGCCACGUCAUCGCCUGGUGUUUGCGGUAUCGUUGCAUUUUUGUAUUGUGUGUAAUUGUGUAGUACUAAUUAACAGGUUGGCUGCCACGCCCUUUUUCUCCCCUUUUUUUUGUAGCUUUAUAGGGACGGGCCGCGCUGUUCUGCCUCAUGGCCUAUCUGCCAUGAGGUGGAGCAGAUGCCACUGCCCAAGAUUCGCCGUAAGGCGCUUAGGCAACGCACCAGAGGGACUCCCUUUGCCCGAUGUGUGGUGGAGACCAGGGGUGUGCGUUCCCACAACGGUCUCCAUCAUCAUGUCAGCCCGGACUUGUCAGCGGACAGUCCCCCUUGGUCGCUAUCUUUAUGAUAGCGACGUAGAAAUUGUAGACUUAGUGGCGUGGCAGCCAACCUGUUA